CCUACGGGAGGCAGCAGUGAGGAAUAUUGGUCAAUGGGCGGGAGCCUGAACCAGCCAAGCCGCGUGAGGGAAGAAGGUACAGCGUAUCGUAAACCUCUUUUGUCAGGGAACACAGGCGGGGACUAGUCCCCGGAUGAGGGUACCUGAAGAAAAAGCAUCGGCUAACUCCGUGCCAGCAGCCGCGGUAAUACGGAGGAUGCGAGCGUUAUCCGGAUUUAUGGGGUUUAAGGGGUGCGCAGGCGGCAUGUUAAGUCAGCGGUAAAAGCCCGGGGCUCAACCCCGGCGAGCCGUUGAAAGUGGCGGGCUGGAGUUGGAGAGAAGGACGCGGAAUGCGCGGUGUAGCGGUGAAAUGCUUAGAUAUCGCGCAGAACCCCGAUUGCGAAGGCAGCGUACCGGCUCCACACUGACGCUGAGGCACGAAAGCGUGGGUAUCGAACAGGAUUAGAUACCCGGGUAGUC
rnacentral:rRNA from 1 species